rnacentral:rRNA from 1 species
GACGAACGCUGGCGGCGUGCUUAACACAUGCAAGUCGAACGAUGAAGCCGGAGCUUGCUCUGGUGAAUUAGUGGCGAACGGGUGAGUAACACGUGAGUAACCUGCCCUUGACUCUGGGAUAACUGCGGGAAACUGUAGCUAAUACCGGCUACGACCCUCGGAGGCAUCUCCUGGGGGUGGAAAGAAUUUCGGUCAAGGAUGGACUCGCGGCCAAUCAGCUAGUUGGUGAGGUAAAGGCUCACCAAGGCGACGACGGGUAGCCGGCCUGAGAGGGUGAACGGCGACACUGGGACUGAGACACGGACCAGACUCCUACGGGAGGCAGCAGUGGGGAAUAUUGCACAAUGGGCGCAAGCCUGAUGCAGCAACGCCGCGUGAGGGAUGACGGCCUUCGGGUUGUAAACCUCUUUUAGCAGGGAAGAAGCGAAAGUGACGGUACCUGCAGAAAAAGCACCGGCUAACUACGUGCCAGCCGCCGCUGUAA